CAGAGAAAAUCAGAUAGCCGCCAUGUUGUCAACAUUGACAUCGAUACAAAGGAAAAGCGUGUGUGUGACGCAUACUGUAAAUGCAAACAAGGAAAUUGUGGAACAUGUUCACACACUCUGGCUGUAAAAGUAGACCUGGGAGGAAAAGUGCCCCCGGUGUGGGGCUCAAACUCACAACCACCAGAACACUAGCCCGGCGCUCUAACCAACUAAGCUGACCGGGCAGCUGGUUCUAACCCACACACACUACCCUCCCCCCAUUUACUGGUUAAGGCUGGUGGAGGGUCUCCUGCUAUUUACCGUUGACACCAUUAAAGUAUUCUGAUUGAUGGAGAUAAGGAAGUCCCCUUAUUAUUGUCUUCAACAAGCCUACCGCCACAGGGGACCUAGCAUCAGACCGGAAACCGCCCCCCCUACACACACACAUGAUAUUUGCCAGUCCAGGCAAUGUCAACCGCAAGAGAAAACCAGUGAUGACAAGAUUUACAAAUAAUCGGAAAGUGUGGUCUUUUGAAGAGAGUUCUUGAAGUUGUUCAGCAUGUUGUUUUGAUGGAUUCUUGGAAGGAUGUACCUCUAUGAUGUUAGCUUCAGUUCUGGAGUAUAACACCAGUUGUUGCAUAUUUAAUAUCAGAUUUAUUAAAUACAUUGUUGUUUUGCAAACAUUACUUAAACUUUGAUAUUUCUUUGGUGUUUAUGUAUGAUAUUGUAGGUGAAUAUCUCUUUAUUGCAAUGGCAAAUAUAUUUUAAAAUAUA